rnacentral:sRNA from 1 species
UCCUUCCUUCCAGUUGGGAUACCGCUGGACAGGAGAGGUUCAAAUGCAUUGCGUCAACCUACUAUAGAGGAGCUCAAGCCAUCAUCAUUGUCUUCAACCUGAAUGAUGUGGCAUCUCUGGAACAUACCAAGCAGUGGCUGGCCGAUGCCCUGAAGGAGAAUGACCCUUCCAGUGUGCUUCUCUUCCUUGUAGGUUCCAAGAAGGAUCUGAGUGUGAGUGUGCCAGUGGGGGGACUUCCCAGCUUGGUGAGGGAAUGCCCCCCUCUGACUCUGGCCUUCCCUCAGACCCCUGCUCAGUAUGCGCUGAUGGAGAAAGACGCCCUCCAGGUGGCCCAGGAGAUGAAGGCUGAGUACUGGGCAGUCUCAUCUCUCACUGGUGAGUUGGAGGCUUUAGGGCUCUGCUGUGACACUCUUGCCUGGCUCUCCUCUCACUGCUACACCUCCAGCUGUGCCCUGUGUCCCCAGACCCAGCACUGCCCCUGAGCACCUAUCUGCUCUCUGUGUCAGGUGAGAAUGUCCGAGAAUUCUUCUUCCGUGUGGCAGCACUGACCUUUGAGGCCAAUGUGCUGGCUGAGCUGGAGAAAUCGGGGGCUCGACGCAUUGGGGAUGUUGUCCGUGAGUGCUUGCCUGGUUGAGGGUGGCAGAGGGCACAGUGAGCCUCCAAUCCCUGCUUCACAUAUUUUCCACCCUUCUUUAGGCAUCAACAGUGAUGACAGCAACCUCUACCUAACUGCCAGCAAGAAGAAGCCCACAUGUUGCCCAUGAGGGCUGAGGAGACUGUUCAGAGACUGCCCAGCCCUAGGGCACUGUGCCACCCUCAUUCCUCCAGAGCUUGACCCCUGGACAUUUGCACUGACUUUAUCCAGACCAAAGAGCUGCCUCUUGGUGGCAGUAUUCCCACAGAGGGGUAGCUGGGACCAUGCUAGUCACUUCCUGCCCCCAGGCACCGUGCCAAAGACUGGAUGCCCCCUACUCCUCAGGGGACUGUCCAGGGCACCCAGUGGUAGUGAGGGAGAGUGUCUCUGUUCUUUUGCUCAGCCUGCUGGGCCCUUUGUGUUUGAGGAUGCUUAAUGAUUCCAGCCUCUCACUGUGCCUUAUGCAUUAAAAUU